rnacentral:rRNA from 1 species
CCUACGGGGUGCUGCAGUGGGGAAUAUUGGACAAUGGGCGAAAGCCUGAUCCAGCCAUGCCGCGUGUGUGAAGAAGGCCUUCGGGUUGUAAAGCACUUUCAGUGGGGAAGAAAGCCUUGGGGCUAAUACCCUCGAGGAAGGACAUCACCCACAGAAGAAGCACCGGCUAACUCCGUGCCAGCAGCCGCGGUAAUACGGAGGGUGCGAGCGUUAAUCGGAAUUACUGGGCGUAAAGCGCGCGUAGGCGGUCUGGUAAGCCGGUUGUGAAAGCCCCGGGCUCAACCUGGGAACGGCAUCCGGAACUGUCAGGCUAGAGUGCAGGAGAGGAAGGUAGAAUUCCCGGUGUAGCGGUGAAAUGCGUAGAGAUCGGGAGGAAUACCAGUGGCGAAGGCGGCCUUCUGGACUGACACUGACGCUGAGGUGCGAAAGCGUGGGUAGCAAACAGGAUUAGAUACCCCUGUAGUC